UAUAUUAUUUAUUAACGUGUAUAAGUAAUCUCUGAAGAUUCAAAUACGUGCUUUUUAAUUAUUUUCCGAAUAUGUGUAUGCACGUAGAAUCAUACCAUAAUCAUAAUUAUCUUAAUUAUUAAUCUCAACUUUUGAAAUUGCGCACGUUGUGCGUGCAAUUUUUUAAAAUAAAAUAUCAAUUCUCCGAGUAUAUGAAGCUGUCUUCACCGAUCAAAUUGGAUAAGUGCAUUUUAGUCGAAAAAAUGAAGAGUAAAGUGUCGAGUGCCUUUUUAUUUUACGUGGUAUUAAAUGCCAUAAUAUUCAUCGUUAUUAUCGAAAAAAGUGACGCAACAAUAGAAUUAAAGGAAAAAGUAGAAAAUUCUUUAUCCACGUUACAUCAUAAUUUACCUAUUAUUUUACAAUCUUUGCAAAUCCCAUCAAGAUCGUAUAAAAAAGAAGAUAUUUCGGAGGAUCCAAGUUUUCGUAACAAAGAUAAUCCAAAGGUUGAAACUGAGACAAGGGAAAAAGAACUGAGCAUUAAAGAUAACUCAAAAAACUUGCCAAAACGUUAUCUAGAAAAUAGUUUAUCUAAAUGUACUGAAUUUUCCGAAACGCAAAUUAAUUGUUUCCAACCAUCAAAUUCAUCUCUGCUGGAAACGUUGGAAAAUUAUUCUUGCAAAACAGAAGCUUUAAAUUAUGGCCACCAACAUAUAAUUGAAACUAUAAUUCAUGAAUCUUUUUGUGAGCUGAACAAACUUUUUCAUUAUAUCUUAAUCGCAGUAAAGAAUUUAAAAUCUGAAUCUCCAUUGAUCUGGCUAUUGAACUCAGUACAAGAUAUAGUUUCAUACAGUGAGGUUACGCUUAAUGAAAGUUUACCUGAAAUAAUAGAUAUCGAAUUGUCCCAAUUAGAAGAAUUUUUAAGUAGUCCUGAAAAUAUAAAAACCUUAAUUAAUAAUAUAAAAAAAUAUGUCCCUAUUUUAAUUCCUAUUGUAAAAGGCAUAAUUAAAUUAGUUAAUUCUAUUAAAGAGGCUUUCUCUUGUAUACAUACUCUUUUUGAAUUUUUUGAUAUUAAUUAUUUAGAGAAAAUUGAAGAUUUAAAAGAAAUAGGAAAGAGAUUAUUUGAGGUUGGCAAACAAUUAAUAACUUCCCUUUAUAAUUUCGCGUUAUAUCCUCUAGAAGAAAUAAAAAAUUUAUUUUUCAACGCAAUUGUAUGGGCAGAAUCAAUAUUUAAUGAUUUGUUGAAUUGCAUCCGACAAAAAAUAUAUCAGUAUAUAGUAAUUUUAGAAGAAGGUAUUAACAUAUUACAAGCUUUAUUUAAUGGUUAUUAUGCAUCUGGAAUUCCGGAAACGUUAAGCAAAAUAAUUGAUACAUCUGAAUCGCCUGUAAUGAAUGAAGAAAAAACAAAUUUAAAUGUUUCGAUAACAUCGAUUGCCUCUACGCUAAUAUCUUAAUUAUUUUUGAAUAUUUUUGAAUAGGAUAUAAGGAGUUCUAUUAAUGUCUGGAUAAAUGUCACUUUCAUCCAUUGGGAUAAUUUCUAAAAAAUGAUUUUAAUUAUGUCUCGCAAUUCAUUUAUUGAUCUUCGAUAUUUGUUAUCUUUUACAAAAAAUAUAUAAAUAAAUGAUAUAUUGUCAUUAUUCGUACUUUUCACAAAUUUGUAUAACUUUUCAUCCAAUUUUUUUAAUAAAAAAUUCAAUAAUUUUUUCUAA
rnacentral:misc_RNA from 1 species